rnacentral:rRNA from 1 species
UGGGGAAUAUUGCACAAUGGGCGCAAGCCUGAUGCAGCCAUGCCGCGUGUGUGAAGAAGGCCUUCGGGUUGUAAAGCACUUUCAGCGGGGAGGAAGGCGGUGAGGUUAAUAACCUCAUCGAUUGACGUUACCCGCAGAAGAAGCACCGGCUAACUCCGUGCCAGCAGCCGCGGUAAUACGGAGGGUGCAAGCGUUAAUCGGAAUUACUGGGCGUAAAGCGCACGCAGGCGGUCUGUCAAGUCGGAUGUGAAAUCCCCGGGCUCAACCUGGGAACUGCAUUCGAAACUGGUAGGCUAGAGUCUUGUAGAGGGGGGUAGAAUUCCAGGUGUAGCGAUGAAAUGCGUAGAGAUCUGGAGGAAUACCGGUGGCGAAGGCGGCCCCCUGGACAAAGACUGACGCUCAGGUGCGAAAGCGUGGGGAGCAAACAGG